rnacentral:rRNA from 1 species
UACGUAGGGUGCAAGCGUUAAUCGGAAUACUGGGCGUAAAGCGUGCGCAGGCGGUGAUGUAAGACAGAUGUGAAAUCCCCGGGCUCAACCUGGGAACUGCAUUUGUGACUGCAUCGCUGGAGUGCGGCAGAGGGGGAUGGAAUUCCGCGUGUAGCAGUGAAAUGCGUAGAUAUGCGGAGGAACACCGAUGGCGAAGGCAAUCCCCUGGGCCUGCACUGACG